rnacentral:lncRNA from 1 species
CGGGAAAUUUCAAAACACGGCUUUGAAGUGUAUUAUGGCCAUAAGAGUGGUCUUUAGUGCCACCUAGAGGAAUAAAGGGAACAUGACAUGUGAGCCACUCGGAGGAAAAUUAAAUACAGCUGAAUAAUUGAAUGAGGGGGCAAGUUGAAUCAGGGGUCACCAUCUGUUUGACUAGAAUUGUUGGCACAUUUCAGCUAAGCCUCACGCGCAUCAUAAACAUGCUUACAGUUAUCAUAGCUCGCAUUGCCCUAAAAUAAAAGAAAAUUGGUCCUAAAAUAAGCUUGAACUAAUUAAACGUAUACCAUGGUGUUGUCAUGGAUACAGGAGGGAAGGUCACCAGAUUCUCAUGGCACCGGGAAGGGUGGCCGAGCCAAACAGAGACAGGAAAAGGAAUUAAUGAGUAACACUCAACAGGCAUGCAGAGUUCAUAGAAAGGAGACCAGAGAUUUAACCAGCUGAUGACUAGAAAGAAAGAAUGUGAAGAAGUUUAACGUCUGAGAAUGCUGUAGCUACUGAGGAUUAUAAAGCCCCAUUAAGAUGAUGGGAUGCUGAAGAGAGAAGCAUUUUAUUAGGAGGGGGGAAAGGCACAGUGGGAAGAGCCUUGGGCUAGAAGUCAGGAAGAUUAGAUUCUAGCUCUGACUCUAUGACUAAAAAAGCUGGAUGUCUUUGGGUAAGUCACUGCAAUUCUCUGGGUCUCAAGUCCUCCCUUUGAUAAAUAAGAAGACUGCAUUAGACAGUGGCUGGCUUCUAGAAUCACGGAGUCUGGAAGCUGUAUAAGAAGGGACCUGCAGUUGUUUAGUGGCCAUAAGAUCUUACACACCAUUAAGUGCAAAAAUAAUAAUGGCAGUCCAUUACAACUACACCACCACUCCUCCCCAAAAUAGGACAUGCUUUAUUUAGUUUAACACAAUGCAGCCCUGCCUGUAUGAUAAUAGACUGCUGAGUGUGUGGUGGAGAGGGCUCUGGACUUGAGAAUCAGGAAGACCCAAACCCUGCCUGAGACGCUGACUAGCUCUUUGGAAAGUCACUUCAUUUUUCUGUCUCCUUUUCCUUAUCUAUAACACAGGGUGAUAGUGAGGAUCAAAUGGAAUCACUUAGGCAAAACAUUUAGCAAACCUUCGGUUAUUCCACAAAUGCUAACUAUUCUAUGCUCACUCAUCUCAGCCUCAGUUUCCUCCUCUGUGAAACUAUAAUAACAAUAGCUUCACAUUGGGUUGUUGUGAGGAUCAGAUGAGAUGAUAUAUAGAAAGUGCUUUGUGGACUUCUAAGCACUCUAUAAAUGCUAGUUUCCGCUGGGCUAUUGCUAUCGCUGCCUCUACUACUACCACCACUACCACCACCAUUACUACUCAAUUCUUAG